rnacentral:rRNA from 1 species
AAUUUAAAAAUUAUUUAUUUAUUUUUUAUUUAAAUAAAAAAAUUUAUUUAAUUAGUUUUUAUUAAUAAAUUAUAUUUAUAAUAGUAUAUUAGUAUUGUGAAAGAAAUUUUAUUAUUAUUAAAUAGAAAAAUUUAAUUUUUGUACCUUGUGUAUCAGGGGCUAUUAAAAUUAAAUUUUAAAUUAUAAUUAUCUCGAAUUUAAAAGAGUUAAAAAAAUAUAUUUUUUAUUGUAAAAUAAAUAUUAAAAAUAUUUUUUUUGAAAUGAAAUGUUAAACGUUUUUAAAUAUAUCUAGUUUUUUAAGAAAUAAAUUUAAUUUAUUUAUUAUUUAAUAAUAUAUUAUAUUUAUAUAGUAAUUUAUUAAUAAUAUAUAAUAUUUUUAGGGAUGAGCUUAAAAAAAUAUUUUUAAUAAUAAAAUUGAGUUUAUAAAUUUGUAGGAUUAAAAUUUUUUAUUCAAUAAAAAAAUGUUAUAAUUAAUUUAUUAUAUUUAUGAUUUUUAUUUUAUUAUAAUUAUUUUAUUAAAAUAUUAAUUUAAAUAAUUUUUAUUAAUUAAAAAUGAUAGUAUUAGUAUAAUGAAAUGUUUAAUGAUUUAAAAUUUAAAGGUUUAUUAAAGGAAUUCGGCAAAUAAUUUUUCACCUGUUUAUUAAAAACAUGUCUUAUUGAUUAUAAUAUUAAGUCUGGCCUGCCCACUGAUAAUUUAAAUGGCCGCAGUAUUUUAACUGUGCUAAGGUAGCAUAAUCAUUAGUUUUUUAAUUGAAAGCUUGAAUGAAGGGUUGGAUGAGAAAAUUACUGUCUUUAUUAAAAAUACAUUAAAAAUUUAUUUUUAAGUUAAAAAGCUUAAAUAUAGUUUAAAGACGAGAAGACCCUAUAGAGUUUUAUAUAAUUUAUAUUUAAUAUUUUUAGUAUUAAUAGUAUUAAUUUUAAUUUAUAUUUAAUUGGGGUGAUUUAAAAAUUUAAAAAACUUUUUAUUAAUUUUUACAUUUAUUUAUGGUUUAUUGAUCCAAUUUUAUUGAUUAAAAGAUUAAAUUACCUUAGGGAUAACAGCGUUAUUUUUUUUUAGAGUUCUUAUUAAAAAAAAAGAUUGCGACCUCGAUGUUGGAUUAAAAUUUAUUUUUGGUGUAGAAGCUAAAAAAUUUUAGGUCUGUUCGACCUUUAAAAUUUUACAUGAUCUGAGUUUAGACCGGCGUGAGCCAGGUUGGUUUCUAUCUUAAAUAAGUUAAUAUAUUUUAGUACGAAAGGACCAAAUAUUUAAUUAAAAAUUUUUAAAUUUGAAUAAUAG